rnacentral:rRNA from 1 species
AUUGAACGCUGGCGGCAUGCCUUACACAUGCAAGUCGAACGGUAACGCGGGGCAACCUGGCGACGAGUGGCGAACGGGUGAGUAAUGCGUCGGAACGUGCCCGGUAGUGGGGGAUAACUGCUCGAAAGAGCAGCUAAUACCGCAUACGACCUGAGGGUGAAAGGGGGGGAUCGCAAGACCUCCCGCGAUCGGAGCGGCCGAUUUCGGAUUAGCUAGUUGGUGGGGUAAAGGCCUACCAAGGCGACGAGCCGUAGCUGGUCUGAGAGUACGAUCAGCCACACUGGGAGUGAGGCACGGCCCAGACUGCUACGGGAGGCAGCAGUGGGGAAUUUUGUACAAUGGACGCAAGUCUGAUCCAGCCAUGCCGCGUGCGGGAAGAAUGCUUUCGUGUUGUAAUCCGCUUUUGUCAGGUAAGAAAUCUUCUGAGUUAAUACCUCGGGAGGAUGACGGUACCUGAAGAAUAAGCACCGGCUAACUACGUGCCAGCCGCCGCGGUAACAC